rnacentral:rRNA from 1 species
GAAUUUUGGACAGUGGGCGAAAGCCUGAUCCAGCAAUGCCGCGUGCAGGAUGAAGGCCUUCGGGUUGUGAACUGCUUUUGUACGGAACGAAAAGCUUUGGGUUAAUACCCUGGAGUCAUGACGGUACCGUACGCAUAAGCACCGGCGUACUACGUGCCACCCGCAGCGGUAAUACGUAGGGUGCAAGCGAUAAUCGGAAUUACUGGGCGGAAAGCGUGCGCAGGCGGUUUUGUAAGACAGAGGUGAAAUCCCCGGGCUCAACCUGGGAACUGCCUUUGUGACUGCAAGGCUAGAGUACGGCAGAGGGGGGUGGAAUUCCGCGUGUAGCAGUGAAAUGCGUAGAUAUGCGGAGGAACACCGAUGGCGAAGGCAACCCCCUGGGCCUGUACUGACGCUCAUGCACGAAAGCGUGGGGAGCAAACAG